rnacentral:rRNA from 1 species
CCUACGGGGGGCACCAGUGGGGAAUCUUCCGCAAUGGGCGAAAGCCUGACGGAGCAAUGCCGCGUGAGCGAAGAAGGCCUUCGGGUCGUAAAGCUCUGUCUAGGGGGAAGAAGCCUGACGGUACCCCUGGAGGAAGCCCCGGCUAACUACGUGCCAGCAGCCGCGGUAACACGUAGGGGGCAAGCGUUGUCCGGAAUCACUGGGCGUAAAGGGCGUGUAGGCGGCCAGGUAAGUCAGAGGUGAAAACCGGCGGCUCAACCGCAGGCUUGCCUUUGAAACUACUUGGCUUGAGGACAGGAGAGGGGAGUGGAAUUCCCAGUGUAGCGGUGAUAUGCGUAGAUAUUGGGAGGAACACCAGUGGCGAAGGCGGCUCCCUGGCCUGAACCUGACGCUGAGGCGCGAAAGCGUGGGUAGCAAACAGGAUUAGAUACCCUAGUAGUC